UACGUAGGCAGCGAGCGUUGUUCGGAGUUACUGGGCGUAAAGCGUGCGUAGGCGGUUGUCUAAGUUUGGUGUGAAAUCUCCUGCUUAACUGGGAGGGUGCGCCGAAAACUGGGUGACUGGAGUGUCGGAGAGGUAAGCGGAAUUCCUGGUGUAGCGGUGAAAUGCGUAGAGAUCAGGAGGAACACCUGUGGUGUAGACAGCUUACUGGACGAUAACUGACGCUGAGGCACGAAAGCGUGGUAGCAAACAGG
rnacentral:rRNA from 1 species